rnacentral:lncRNA from 1 species
UCUCAUUACAUUCAGCAGUAAAAUCAAAAAUAUAACUUUACAAAAUUAGAGGGGUUAUCGCUGGAGUAGGGCGAAGGGUUGAGCCUUGGCAUGGCAAGGUGGUGACAAGGUCCCGAUCUCACACGUGAAAUUAAGAUUCUAACACCGGUGGGCCUAGAAGCCAGCCCGACCUUUCCUCCAGCUUGCAUCAGGCCUCAAGAGGGAAGUGGCUCCAUCUUAUUUUCAUCCCCCAUUUUUUCUCUUAAAGAGAGAACUUGAAGAGGGAAGAGAUUCAUUCAUUCAAUAGUAUUUAUUGAGCGCUUACUAUGUGCAGAGCACUGUACUAAGCGCUUGGAAUGGACAAAUCGGUAACAGAUCGAGACAGUCCCUGCCCUUUGACGGGCUUACAGUCUAGCAUCUCCUAGAGAAAAGAUGACAAGGAAAGGAGAAAGAGGGAAGGAAAAAGAAAGAAGUUGUGAGAAAUAAUGAAAGGGAAAGCAUAAAAAUGAAAGACAAAUGAAACGAAGGUAGAAAGAGUGAGAAAAGGAAAGAAGAAAGAGGUAAACAGAGAAAGGAGUGAGAAAUUGAGAAUUCAAGAGUUCAGGAAGAGAAAAAGAGAAUGAAAGAGAGAGUGAAAAAAAAGAAAGCGGGAGAAAGACGGACGCAAGGAAGUCCUUACCGUUCUUAACUUCUCCUGCGGUCUUCUUUGUUGUAGUUGAUUGCGGUUGUGCUUAAUUAACCUCAAACGGUAAAGUCAAAAUCAAACUUCACAAAAGCAGAGGGGUUUUCGUUGGAGUAAGGUAAAGGAUCGUACCUCGGCACGGCCAGGCGGUGGGCCCCGAUCCCCCACGUGAAAUUAUGGAUGCUUUGAAGAUCCUGACGCCGUUGGCUUCUGGGCACCGUGACCUUUCCUCUCGCCCGCGUCGGUCCUCCAGAGGGAAGAAGCCUGGGGACAUAGAGAGAGCGAAAUUAGAUGGUGUAGUUUGCCAAUGGACCUCAGCAAUCCGAGCACUGUGCUGAGCACAAAUAUGUUCCACUGUACUCUCCAAAGUGCUUAGGGCAGCCCUCUGCACAAGGUAAGCGCUCAGUAAAUACCACUGAAGGAUCGGUUGCGGCAAGAUAGAAUCAAUGUGAGCCCUGAGAGGGUCAGAGAACCUUCCUCCAUCAGCUCACCCUGAAUCAGCCCCAGCUCUUAGCACAUAGUCCGCGCUUAGCAAAGACCACCACUGAGCAGAGUCAUCGCCAAGCAGGGAGACGAGAGCAAGUUACACUGGCGGUAACCAUGGAGACGCUAGUCUAAAGCCGGGGAAAUCCCGGGGGCAAAGCCGGCUUUCUAUUACUCCGCCUUGGAUAACCCCCUCGCCUCAUC